GACGAACCGUGCGAACGUUGUUCGGAAUCACUGGGCUUAAAGGGCGCGUAGGCGGUUUCUCAAGUCCGGGGUGAAAGCUUUCGGCUUAACCGGAAAGGGGCCUUGGAUACUGAGAAGCUGGAGGGAGGUAGGGGCCGUUGGAACUUCCAGUGGAGCGGUGAAAUGCGUUGAUAUUGGAAGGAACUCCGGUGGCGAAAGCGAACGGCUGGAUCUCUUCUGACGCUGAGGCGCGAAAGCUAGGGGAGCAAACGGG
rnacentral:rRNA from 1 species